GCCCCUGCUGAUGAGCAAAUUUUACUGUCGUUCUUCCGAGUAUUUCAGUGAGGAGAACACCGGAGACCUGAACUGAUUUGGU
rnacentral:snoRNA from 1 species